rnacentral:rRNA from 1 species
GCCAACGACCAUACCACGUUGAAUACACCAGUUCUCGUCCGAUCACUGAAGUUAAGCAACGUCGGGCGUAGUUAGUACUUGGAUGGGUGACCGCUUGGGAACACUACGUGCCGUUGGCGCGC